rnacentral:rRNA from 1 species
GUGUCAGCAGCCGCGGUAAUACGAAGGGGACUAGCGUUGUUCGGAUUUACUGGGCGUAAAGCGCGCGUAGGCGGAUCGCUAAGUCAGGGGUGAAAUCCCAGGGCUCAACCCUGGAACUGCCUUUGAUACUGACGAUCUGGAGAUCGGGAGAGGUUGGUGGAAUUCCGAGUGUAGAGGUGAAAUUCGUAGAUAUUCGGAGGAACACCAGAAGCGAAGGCGGCCAACUGGCCCGAUACUGACGCUGAGGCGCGAAAGCGUGGGGAGCAAACAGGAUUAGAAACCCCCGUAGUCC